UGGCCUCCUCAUGUCAUGAUUCCUUUCCGCUCCUCCUUCCCAGGGACCCUCAUUCACACCUACACAACACAUGCGUAGGCACCCACUGUGUGCCUGACAGCUCAGCCUGUAAGUGACUGCAGUCAUGGGCUGGCCUUAUGUGCAGACAGUCAUGUGAGGCUGCCCGGGGUCAGAAUCAGGACUUCUGCACAGGGUCUGAGAAGAGAAGGCCAGAGCCAGACCCAAGAGGACACCCAGAGAGCACAGCCAGACGCAGACAGAGCCCCGAGAGCCGACGGCCACUCAUCUCCACAGCUGGACACGGCCUCGCCCACUGGGCGGGCAUCGCAUGGGCAACGUCAGGACGAGGACAUGUGCACAGCUGGCCUGCAGUUUCUCGUGGUGAGUGGUCUAGUGAGCAAAUCUGAGAGACUGCGUCUGCACCCUUCCAGAAAACUGGCGUGGAGAGACAGAGGAAGGGCCAGCACACGUGGGAACAUGCUUCUCACGCCUGCCAGGACGCACUGCCAGUUAGUGACGGGGCAGAGGAGCCGCCUUUACAGAGAAAACAGAAUGGAGGAGGCUUCUGCUUCACUUUGGACCUUUUGUUCCACCUGAAUCUUAAGACCCAUCAGUGAAAUCCAGGUAAAGAGGAGGAAAAAGACCUUUGUCCUCCUCUCCCCCUCAGAGAACCCUCCUCCCUCUCUCCAGGUCGUCCCGGAGGUCAUCUUGCCAGAGAGCCAAAAAACAGGAAAAACCUGCUGCCCAGGAUGGCAGGGCAGUUUCUACUUAAACAGAGACCUGAUCAUUAGUUAUUAAAUAAUCCCUAAGAA